UUCCAGACUCCUACGGGAGGCAGCAGUGAGGAAUAUUGGUCAAUGGGCGAGAGCCUGAACCAGCCAAGUCGCGUGAGGGAGUACUGCCCUAUGGGUUGUAAACCUCUUUUGUCGGGGAGCAAAAGCCGGACGUGUCCGGCUGUGAGAGUACCCGAAGAAAAAGCAUCGGCUAACUCCGUGCCAGCAGCCGCGGUAAUACGGAGGAUGCGAGCGUUAUCCGGAUUUAUUGGGUUUAAAGGGUGCGUAGGCGGGCUGUUAAGUCAGCGGUCAAAUGUCGGGGCUCAACCCCGGCCUGCCGUUGAAACUGGCGGCCUCGAGUGGGCGAGAAGUAUGCGGAAUGCGUGGUGUAGCGGUGAAAUGCAUAGAUAUCACGCAGAACUCCGAUUGCGAAGGCAGCAUACCGGCGCCCAACUGACGCUCAGGCACGAAAGCGUGGGUAUCGAACAGGAUUAGAUACCCCUGUACA
rnacentral:rRNA from 1 species